rnacentral:rRNA from 1 species
CCGAGCGCACGCACUAGCCGACAAACUGCAAACGUCGUUCCCUUCCAAAAAAACAGCACACCGAUACAUCCCUUUCGCUAUCCUUAUCCCGGUCCCUCUCCAGAAAAAAAAAAGCCUUAUCCCGAUCCCUUUCCUCCUCUCAGAACGGAGGUGAAGAAGCACGGGAGCACACCGGAGCGUCGAUGUGGAGGCGGCGGAUCAGAGGAGCCGGCGAAGAGGUCGGCCAGGACGGGAAUAGCAGCGCCACCGUCUCUUCCUCCCAAAUUUUCAGUGCGGAGCUGGAGUAAUGCCGUCGGCGUCGUGGUCGAUCCGUCAAGGGUGCGGGAUGUGGGAUGUCCACCCAUCCGCAACUACUGGAAGAACACGCUGGCAGCGAGUGUCCCCAAGAGCAAGGGAGGAGAUGAUGUUGCAGCUCAAGGGGGCCUCACUACCUGAAGGUGAGCAUGGAUGGCGCCCAUUUUCCCCCAUCAAAUUUGUACAAAUUCGUUGCAGAGCAAUGGACAUUUGUGUUUGAAUCAGUGGGUGAAUAUUUUGCAAUCAAUAGAUAGGCAGUUAUGUGAAUUAUGGGGAGAAAGCAGUCCCUUGGAUUUCUAGAAGAGUUGCCUCGUAUUGUAAUGCAGUUGCUUGAUUUUGUUAGAACAGUUGUUUGGUUUUUGCUAGGCCAAUUUUGCAUUGUGUUUUAGGUAAUGUGGUUGCUUCGAUUGCUAGGACAGUUGUUUGGUUUUUUCUAGGCCAAUUUUGCAUUAUGUUUUAGGUAAUACGGUUGCUUCGAUUGCUAGGACUGUUGCUUGGUUUUUCUAGGACUGUUGCUUGGUUUUGCAAGAAUAGUUUUGCAUUGUUUGUUUUCGUAAUAUAGUGGGA